rnacentral:rRNA from 1 species
UACGGAGGGUGCGAGCGUUGUCCGGAAUUACUGGGCGUAAAGCGCUCGUAGGUGGUUUGUCGCGUUGGCCGUCAAAUCUCGCGGCUUAACUGUGAGCGUGCGGGCGAUACGGGCAGACUAGAGUGCUGCAGGGGAGGCGGGAAUUCCUGGUGUAGCGGUGGAAUGCGCAGAUAUCAGGAGGAACACCGGUGGCGAAGGCGGGUCUCUGGGCAGUAACUGACACUGAGGAGCGAAAGCGUGGGGAGCGAACAGG